GACGAACGCUGGCGGCGUGCUUAACACAUGCAAGUCGAACGGAAAGGCCCUGCUUUUGUGGGGGGCUCGAGUGGCGAACGGGUGAGUAACACGUGAGUAACCUGCCCUUGACUUUGGGAUAACUUCAGGAAACUGGGGCUAAUACCGUAUAGGAGAUCCUGCUGCAUGGUGGGGGUGGGAAAGUUUCGGCGGUUGGGGCUGGACUCGCGGCUUAUCAGCUUGUUGGUGGGGUAGUGGCUUACAAAGGCUUUGACGGGUAGCCGGCCUGAGAGGGUGACCGGCCACAUUGGGACUGAGAUACGGCCCAGACUCCUACGGGAGGCAGCAGUGGGGAAUAUUGCGCAGUGGGCGGACGCCUGAUGCAGCAACGCCGCGUGCGGGAUGAAGGCCUUCGGGUUGUAAACCGCUUCCGCCUGUGACGAAGCGUGAUUGACGGUAAUGGGUAAAGAAGCACCGGCUAACUACGUG
rnacentral:rRNA from 1 species